GUGAACAGAAAUGACAGCAUCACUCCCAUGGAACCUCCUCCAUCUCUGUCUUCCCUGUUGUGACAAUCUCAGAGGCUACAUUCUUUCAAUGGCUGGGCUACAAGAUGGGGAAAGGCUGCCCAACCUGGUUUGCAACGCCACCUCAGUAAGCUGAGACGUGGUAAUCGCCAUGGCAACGGGGCCGCAUUAAAAGCAUUGUGCGUACAAAGUGAAAGGCUGCUGCCUGGCAGAGUUCAGUCUGGUCUCACUGCACCUCUUCCCUAAUUAAGAUGCACCUUUUUGUUUUGUCUUUUGAAAACAAAAAUGCUCCCUUUAUAGCCACGAGGCAGAAGAAAAAUUAAGGCCAAGAUCCUUUCAUGCCCAAUACGGGCCUGCCCGGAGGUUGGAGCAUGGGGGAUCAUGGGCAGCAAGUGAGAAAGUGCAGAGUGAUUUGCCGCUGCUACAUCCUGAGAAACUGGAGGGCUGUCAUCAAAGUCCUUGAAUCGCUGGAGAGUGGGUGUGGGAUGGUUACAUUUGAAAAUGCAGCUGUGAUAUAAAACAAAGCAAAGACUGCACUGUUUUCCCAGCAAGAGCCUAGCUGGAGACCCUAAGCCUAAGAUAGAAGCUUCUGCCAUCAACAGGCCACAAAACCCAUACUUCCUGCCCCAUGAGGCUUCUGACCUUGGUCCCCUGGAAUCCUCCCUCCUUAUCAAGUAUCUGUGUCCAGGCCUAGGGGAGACCAGACCCAGGUCUGUCCUUGUCUGCCUACAAGGACAAGGCAUUCUACUGCUGUAGGCCACUUGUUUAUGAGCCCCUAAAAUUUGUAUAUUAAAGCCUGAAUCCCCAUUGUGAUGAUAUUUGGAGGUGGGGCCUUCGAAAGGUGAUUAGGUUUAUAUGAGCUCAUGAGGGUGGGGCCCUUAUAAUGGUAUUAAUGUCCUUAUAAGAAGAGACACAACAGAGCUUGCUUCCUCUCUCUCUCCCCACCAUGUGAAGACACAGCAAGAAGGCGGCCAUCUGCAAACCAGAAAGAGAGCCCUCACCAGGAACCGGAUCUGCUGGCACCUUGAUCUUGGACUUCCCAGCCUUUAGAGCUGUGAGAAAUGUCACCCCCAGGUCAAUGGGAUAUUUGUUACAGCACCAGGUACUGCCUGAGAACUCUACCUUUAGGGAGCCUGCAUGCUGGGUCCCUGCGGAGACAAUGAAGGUGCUUGACACCGUUUCAAUAUUGGGUCACUGCAAGGCUGACUGCUGCUGAAGGACAGCCAGUGAGAGGUCAUGGCAAGCCAUCAGAAGAAGCAGAAGUCAUGAGCAGGCUGAAGCUAUGAGGCCAAGACAAAAUGACACAUUGCCACAAGAAGAGGGACAAACAGGCAACAGGCAGAGCCCAUGGGAAUCAGUAAUCUCUUGCUGCCACUGAGGCCUUGGGACUAACUCAGAUCCAGUACUACUCUCUUGGGGCCUAUUCUGACUCCAGCACCUGUCCUUGGGGUCCCCUGAGAUCCCUGUAGCCUUGUAAUAAGCCCACAUUAUCAUAUUUCCCCUGCUGGCUCCACGCUAGAGCAUUUCCAACAAUUUCCAGUGCUUUUUUCCUUCUCACACCACUGGGCCUUUGCAUGUGCUAGUGCCUCCCCAACUUGCCCUGCCUUCUCCUUCACCCAGACAACUCCUACUAAAUCUCUCAGACUCCUCAGCUGUGUCCCUUCCUAGGGGAAGACUCUCCUCCCUCCAGUGAGCCCGGUGGUCCUCCCUGGGAUACCCUGCUCCUUGUCUUCCCUGCCGUCCUUACUGCCGUCCUUGUUCUCUACUCAGAAGGAGGCAGAGGCUGGCCUGCCCCCACUCCCCUGUAGACUGACCAGAUGAAUUGACCUGGGCUGGGCAGGGCAGGCAUGUUUGACCAAUUGUCUGGGCACCCCGUGGCUCAGUCAAGUUGACACAUAAAGUUCACUGCCCCAGGGCCCCUUCGUUGUAUUUGUCUAUGAAUAAAAAACAGCAUCAACUCCAGGUAUCUGAGGGUUCUGGAGGCAGGUUCUGUGAUCCCUUUUUACAGAUGAGGAUGCGGAGAUCCAGUUGUCACUCACCCAGAUCACACUUUCAUCUGCUGAUGGAAGGAGUAUUUGAUGGGAUGUGUGAGCCCGGCCGUCUCCCUCGGGACACAUCGGCUCAGUAAAUUUGCCAGCCCCUGCCUGAAAAAGUAUUUAAUUUGUCUUUUACAAUGCACCCAUUGCAAGCUAAUUAACUGGCAAUUGAAAGUUAUAGGUGGCAUUAGAAUUUAUUAAUAACAUUGGAAAUAAAUCUCCCUGGAAUUCAA
rnacentral:lncRNA from 1 species